CAGUCGCCACGGUAAUACGAAGGGGGCUAGCGUUGUUCGGAAUCACUGGGCGUAAAGCGCACGUAGGCGGACACUUAAGUCAGAGGUGAAAUCCCAAGGCUCAACCUUGGAACUGCCUUUGAUACUGGGUGUCUUGAGUUCGGGAGAGGUGAGUGGAACUGCGAGUGUAGAGGUGAAAUUCGUAGAUAUUCGCAAGAACACCAGUGGCGAAGGCGGCUCACUGGCCCGAUACUGACGCUGAGGUGCGAAAGCGUGGGGAGCAAACAGGAUUACAUACCCGCGUAGUCCCUGUCUCUUAUAC
rnacentral:rRNA from 1 species